ACCGACGAACAGAGAACGAUGAAGCGUGAUGAUGAAAUGAUCUCAUAAGCCAAUCGAGUCCUUACUCCCCCAAUACCUUGAACCAUCCCACACGUCUCGUCAAUCGAUUCUCAUCGCCGAUCUGUUGUUGUCGCCGUGUUCUCGCCGUCGGGUUCGAAGUUCACCUAGUCGUGUUCUCGCCGUCGUGUUUGUCUGGACGUAUUCCCGCUGUCGUGUUUGUCUGGACGUAUUCUCGUCGCCGAUCUCGUCGCUUUGCCUUAUUGUGAAUUGGAUUAGAUACGAUGAAGUCUUUGAAAGGAGAAUGAACAAACACGGUGAUAGGAGACCUGGAGAUUGGGUAAUUUCGUUUUUGCUAAAGUCAAAAGGCUUCCAUGCUUGGCCUGCUAAGGUUUUUGUGACAGAACAACCUUGAACAACAACACAGUCAAUGCCACAAUUGAUUGGAUAGGAAACUGUAAUAUCAACAAUGAAACGCUUCUAUAUGUGCCUUGUGGUGUGUAUUUGACUCAGAGCUUCAAUCAUUGAUAUUGGUAACUCCUGCUCAAGAUUCAAAACAUUAUACAUUGAUUACAUUUGGGGUUUACGUUUGGAUGUGAUAUUUUACAACUGUUUUAUGAAAAUAAUUGUUUUGAUUA